rnacentral:lncRNA from 1 species
ACCUUCAACCAACACUCACAUUUCCUUCAAUGUCUUUGACAACGUUACCUAUGAUGCUUUAAUGGCUUUAAUUUACGCCUAUCGUCCACCUACUCCUCCAACUUCCACCAUUGAAAUGGGACUUAGAAAAACCCUAGCAGUUUAUAGGGAAUGGGCAGGGAGAAUAGGCCGAGAUGAAAAUGGAAGUCGCGCGGUUUUUCUCAACGAUGAGGGUGUUAGAUUCAUCGAGGCAUCGGUCGAUGCCACGUUAGAUGAAGUAUUGCCCUUAAAGCCCUCUCCUUCUUUGCUUAAGUUGCAUCCUAGUAUGAAGGAUGUAGUGGAGUUGAUCCAAGUUCAAGUCACAAGGUUCACUUGUGGCUCCGUGGUGGUCGGGUUUACCGGCCACCACAUGAUAGCUGACGGACACGCGGCUAGCAACUUUUUCGUCGCGUGGGGCCAAGCUUGUCGUGGUGUAGAGAUCAUUCCACUCCCUUUACACGAUCGUGCUAUUUUCCAUC